rnacentral:rRNA from 1 species
UGGUGGAGUGAUUUGUCUGGUUAAUUCCGAUAACGAACGAGACCUUAACCUGCUAAAUAAUCUGUCCCAUUUCAUGGGAUUUGAUUUCUUAGAGGGACUAUGCGAAUAUAAGCGCAUGGAAGUUUGAGGCAAUAACA